AACGCACCUUGCGCCCCUUGGUAUUCCGAGGGGCAUGCCUGUUUGAGUGUCAUUAAAUUCUCAACCUUACUAGCUUUUGCGAAGUAAUGGCUUGGACUUGGGGGUCUUUUGCUGGUUUCGAAAGAGAUCUGCUCCCCUUAAAUGCAUUAGCCGGUGCCCCGCGUGGACCGUCUAUUGGUGUGAUAAUUAUCUACGCCGUUAGAUGUCUGCUAUUAAAUGGGAUGCGCUGCUUCUAAUCGUCCUCUAGGACAAUUAUUGACCAUUUGACCUCAAAUCAGGUAGGACUACCCGCUGAACUUAA
rnacentral:misc_RNA from 1 species